rnacentral:rRNA from 1 species
UACGUAGGAGGCAAGCGUUGUCCGGAAUUAUUGGGCGUAAAGCGCGCGCAGGCGGUUUCUUAAGUCUGAUGUGAAAGCCCACGGCUCAACCGUGGAGGGUCAUUGGAAACUGGGGAACUUGAGUGCAGGAGAGAAGAGUGGAAUUCCACGUGUAGCGGUGAAAUGCGUAGAGAUGUGGAGGAACACCAGUGGCGAAGGCGACUCUUUGGCCUGUAACUGACACUGAGGCGCGAAAGCGUGGGGAGCAAACAGG